UACGGGGGGGGCAAGCGUUGUUCGGAAUUACUGGGCGUAAAGGGCGCGUAGGCGGUGUGUCAAGUCAGGCGUGAAAGCCCCGGGCUCAACCUGGGAACAGCGCUUGAGACUGGCACGCUCGAGUUCGGGAGAGGAUGGUGGAAUUCCCAGUGUAGAGGUGAAAUUCGUAGAUAUUAGGAAGAACACCGGUGGCGAAGGCGGCCCACUGGAUCGGUACUGACGCUGAGGUGCGAAAGCGUGGGGAGCAAACAGG
rnacentral:rRNA from 1 species